rnacentral:misc_RNA from 1 species
GAUGAAGAACGUAGCGAAAUGCGAUAAGUAAUGUGAAUUGCAGAAUUCAGUGAAUCAUCGAAUCUUUGAACGCACCUUGCGCUCCUUGGUAUUCCGAGGAGCAUGCCUGUUUGAGUGUCAUUAAUAUAUCAACCUUCUCUUUUUUGAGUUGUUUGGAUGUGGGGGUUUGCUGGCCUCUUAAAUGAUUCAGCUCCCCUGAAAUGCAUUAGCAGAACCACCUGUUCAUUAGCGUGAUAAUUAUCUAUGCUAUUGAAUGUGAGGGCAGUUCAGCUUUCUAACCGUCCUUGGACAAUUCAUCAUUAAUGUGACCUCAAAUCAGGUAGGACUACCCGCUGAACUUAAGCAUAUCAAUAAGCGGAGGA